ACGUAGGGGGCAAGCGUUAUCCGGAUUUACUGGGUGUAAAGGGAGCGUAGACGGCGGCGCAAGUCUGAUGUGAAAGCCUGGGGCUCAACCCCGGAACUGCAUUGGAAACUGUGCUGCUAGAGUGCCGGAGAGGUAAGCGGAAUUCCUAGUGUAGCGGUGAAAUGCGUAGAUAUUAGGAGGAACACCAGUGGCGAAGGCGGCUUACUGGACGGUAACUGACGUUGAGGCUCGAAAGCGUGGGGAGCAAACAGG
rnacentral:rRNA from 1 species